GGUCAUAUAAUCAGGCCACCUGCGCGCUACUGACCUAGAUUCCUUGUGGGCUGACACACCCGUGUAGUAGGCCCACAACCUUGUAGAUCAUUAGUAGUGAUAAGCCUACGCAGGGUGCGGCGGUCAGUUUGAAUUGUUGUUUGCUCAUGCUUUGACAUUGGAUUAUUUCUGCCUAAUGCAGUUUGCUUUUCAAGUCAUCUGGAUUAUGUGAAUAUUUUCUACAUCAGUGUGUGUGUUGAGGAACAGAAGUGGUGACUAAUUAAUUAAUUAAUUAAGAUUGACCAACAGUUUUGAGAUCGCAAAUUUGAAGUGCUGUUUGGCUGUACUGUAGGCCUACUGUUCAUUUUCAGAUUCUUCAUCACCAUAGUACUCAAUGCUUUUUUCAAAUCAUCUGGAUUGUGUGAAUAUCAAAUAUCUCUUCCAUCAGUUGCUUACAUGCUUCUCUUCUAGGCCUAUUUAUUGCUUUCAUCAUGUGUGGUUAUGACUCUGUUGGACUGUGACUGACACUUUCAAAAUAAACUGAAGGAAUAAGAACAACAAUGGGUAGAAAAUGCUCAGUUGGUGGAUGCAAAACUGGCUAUGACAGUCAGAAAGGUGCAGAAAAAGUGACCUUGUAUGGAUUUCCUUCGGAUGAAACAGAAUGUCGGGCAUGGAUUGCUAGCUUACCAAACAUUUUAUCCUAUGAAAAGGUGUCAAGAUAAAAAAAA